rnacentral:rRNA from 1 species
UACGGGGGGGGCAAGCGUUGUUCGGAAUUACUGGGCGUAAAGGGCCAGUAGGCGGCCAACUAAGUCCGACGUGAAAUCCCAAGGCUUAACCUUGGAACUGCGUCCGAUACUGGCGGGCUUGAAUCCGGGAGAGGGAUGCGGAAUUCCAGGUGUAGCGGUGAAAUGCGUAGAUAUCUGGAGGAACACCGGUGGCGAAGGCGGCAUCCUGGACCGGCAUUGACGCUGAGGCGCGAAAGCUAGGGGAGCAAACGGG